UCUUCCUCUUUUCGGUGCUCCUGUUC
rnacentral:piRNA from 1 species